UACCAGCACCCCGAGGAGUCGGGACGUUUAUUGGGCCUAAAGCAUCCGUAGCCGGUUCUACAAGUCUUCCGUUAAAUCCACCUGCUUAACAGAUGGGCUGCGGAAGAUACUAUGGAGCUAGGAGGCGGGAGAGGCAAGCGGUACUCGAUGGGUAGGGGUAAAAUCCGUUGAUCCAUUGAAGACCACCAGUGGCGAAGGCGGCUUGCCAGAACGCGCUCGACGGUGAGGGAUGAAAGCUGGGGGAGCAAACCGG
rnacentral:rRNA from 1 species